UCACUUACAAAACAUACACUCUCAUUGACAAACACACACUCACUAACAGACUUCAAACAGACUCACUAACACACACACACUCAGUAAGACACACACAGUAACACACUCACUGACACUCACUAGCAGACACACACAUUAACACUCACUCUAACACUCACACACGCUAACACUCACUAGCAGACACACACACUAACACUCACUCUAACACUCACUCUAACACUAACACUCACUCUAACACUCACACUAACUAGCAGACACACACACUCUCACUCUAACACUCACACUAACACUCACUCUAACACUCACACUAACACUCACUAGCAGACACACACACUAACACUCACUCUAAC